UAAGGUAAGGAGGUGAUCCAACCGCAGGUUCCCCUACGGUUACCUUGUUACGACUUCACCCCAGUCAUGAAUCACAAAGUGGUAAGCGCCCUCCCGAAGGUUAAGCUACCUACUUCUUUUGCAACCCACUCCCAUGGUGUGACGGGCGGUGUGUACAAGGCCCGGGAACGUAUUCACCGUAGCAUUCUGAUCUACGAUUACUAGCGAUUCCGACUUCAUGGAGUCGAGUUGCAGACUCCAAUCCGGACUACGACAUACUUUAUGAGGUCCGCUUGCUCUCGCGAGGUCGCUUCUCUUUGUAUAUGCCAUUGUAGCACGUGUGUAGCCCUGGUCGUAAGGGCCAUGAUGACUUGACGUCAUCCCCACCUUCCUCCAGUUUAUCACUGGCAGUCUCCUUUGAGUUCCCGGCCGGACCGCUGGCAACAAAGGAUAAGGGUUGCGCUCGUUGCGGGACUUAACCCAACAUUUCACAACACGAGCUGACGACAGCCAUGCAGCACCUGUCUCACAGUUCCCGAAGGCACCAAUCCAUCUCUGGAAAGUUCUGUGGAUGUCAAGACCAGGUAAGGUUCUUCGCGUUGCAUCGAAUUAAACCACAUGCUCCACCGCUUGUGCGGGCCCCCGUCAAUUCAUUUGAGUUUUAACCUUGCGGCCGUACUCCCCAGGCGGUCGAUUUAACGCGUUAGCUCCGGAAGCCACGCCUCAAGGGCACAACCUCCAAAUCGACAUCGUUUACGGCGUGGACUACCAGGGUAUCUAAUCCUGUUUGCUCCCCACGCUUUCGCACCUGAGCGUCAGUCUUUGUCCAGGGGGCCGCCUUCGCCACCGGUAUUCCUCCAGAUCUCUACGCAUUUCACCGCUACACCUGGAAUUCUACCCCCCUCUACAAGACUCUAGCCUGCCAGUUUCGAAUGCAGUUCCCAGGUUGAGCCCGGGGAUUUCACAUCCGACUUGACAGACCGCCUGCGUGCGCUUUACGCCCAGUAAUUCCGAUUAACGCUUGCACCCUCCGUAUUACCGCGGCUGCUGGCACGGAGUUAGCCGGUGCUUCUUCUGCGGGUAACGUCAAUCGAUGAGGUUAUUAACCUCACCGCCUUCCUCCCCGCUGAAAGUGCUUUACAACCCGAAGGCCUUCUUCACACACGCGGCAUGGCUGCAUCAGGCUUGCGCCCAUUGUGCAAUAUUCCCCACUGCUGCCUCCCGUAGGAGUCUGGACCGUGUCUCAGUUCCAGUGUGGCUGGCCAUCCUCUCAGACCAGCUAGGGAUCGUCGCCUAGGUGAGCCGUUACCCCACCUACUAGCUAAUCCCAUCUGGGCACAUCUGAUGGCAUGAGGCCCGAAGGUCCCCCACUUUGGUCUUGCGACAUUAUGCGGUAUUAGCUACCGUUUCCAGUAGUUAUCCCCCUCCAUCAGGCAGUUUCCCAGACAUUACUCACCCGUCCGCCGCUCGUCACCCGAGAGCAAGCUCUCUGUGCUACCGCUCGACUUGCAUGUGUUAGGCCUGCCGCCAGCGUUCAAUCUGAGCCAUGAUCAAACUCUUCAAUU
rnacentral:rRNA from 1 species